GACGGGGGAUGCAAGCGUUGUCCGGAAUCACUGGGCGUAAAGGGCGCGUAGGCGGCCUGGUAAGUAGGGGGUGAAAUCCUGCGGCUUAACCGCAGGGCUGCCUUCUAAACUGUCAGGCUUGAGCACGGUAGAGGCAGAUGGAAUUCCCGGUGUAGCGGUGGAAUGCGUAGAGAUCGGGAAGAACAUCAGUGGCGAAGGCGGUCUGCUGGGCCGUUGCUGACGCUGAGGCGCGACAGCGUGGGGGAGCAAACAGG
rnacentral:rRNA from 1 species